UACAGAGGUCUCGAGCGUUUAGGCGGAAUCACUGGGCUUAAAGCGUGUGUAGGCGGAUCGUUAAGUACCUUGUGAAAUCCCACGGCUUAACCGUGGAACUGCUUGGGUAUACUGGCGGUCUUGAGCCAGCUAGGGGCUACCGGAACAAAUGGUGGAGCGGUGAAAUGCGUAGAUAUCUGGAGGAACACCGGUGGCGAAGGGCGGCAU
rnacentral:rRNA from 1 species